CAAAGGGAUGCAACUACCCUAACUAACUCUCCUUCUGGUGAUUGCAACACAGUAGCAUUUUCAUAGGCGGGGCAGCACCAGAUUGUAACAACUGAUCCAGUAAUCUCUUUAGAGGAAAGACAACUCUUGGAUGAAAUGGUAAGUACAUAUCCACUAAACGCUUUAAAUCAUGCUAAUUCUAGUACUAGUCGUGGGAACAUGAGCAGGAACAAAUCGCAAAAACAACAACAAAACAAGGAAGUUAUGGGUAAUGUACAAUUGACAACAC
rnacentral:lncRNA from 1 species